CUCAGGACGAACGCUGGCGGCGUGCCUAAUACAUGCAAGUCGAGCGGACAGAAGGGAGCUUGCUCCCGGAUGUUAGCGGCGGACGGGUGAGUAACACGUGGGUAACCUGCCUGUAAGACUGGGAUAACUCCGGGAAACCGGAGCUAAUACCGGAUAGUUCCUUGAACCGCAUGGUUCAAGGAUGAAAGACGGUUUCGGCUGUCACUUACAGAUGGACCCGCGGCGCAUUAGCUAGUUGGUGGGGUAAUGGCUCACCAAGGCGACGAUGCGUAGCCGACCUGAGAGGGUGAUCGGCCACACUGGGACUGAGACACGGCCCAGACUCCUACGGGAGGCAGCAGUAGGGAAUCUUCCGCAAUGGACGAAAGUCUGACGGAGCAACGCCGCGUGAGUGAUGAAGGUUUUCGGAUCGUAAAGCUCUGUUGUUAGGGAAGAACAAGUGCGAGAGUAACUGCUCGCACCUUGACGGUACCUAACCAGAAAGCCACGGCUAACUACGUGCCAGCAGCCGCGGUAAUACGUAGGUGGCAAGCGUUGUCCGGAAUUAUUGGGCGUAAAGGGCUCGCAGGCGGUUUCUUAAGUCUGAUGUGAAAGCCCCCGGCUCAACCGGGGAGGGUCAUUGGAAACUGGGAAACUUGAGUGCAGAAGAGGAGAGUGGAAUUCCACGUGUAGCGGUGAAAUGCGUAGAGAUGUGGAGGAACACCAGUGGCGAAGGCGACUCUCUGGUCUGUAACUGACGCUGAGGAGCGAAAGCGUGGGGAGCGAACAGGAUUAGAUACCCUGGUAGUCCACGCCGUAAACGAUGAGUGCUAAGUGUUAGGGGGUUUCCGCCCCUUAGUGCUGCAGCUAACGCAUUAAGCACUCCGCCUGGGGAGUACGGUCGCAAGACUGAAACUCAAAGGAAUUGACGGGGGCCCGCACAAGCGGUGGAGCAUGUGGUUUAAUUCGAAGCAACGCGAAGAACCUUACCAGGUCUUGACAUCCUCUGACAACCCUAGAGAUAGGGCUUUCCCUUCGGGGACAGAGUGACAGGUGGUGCAUGGUUGUCGUCAGCUCGUGUCGUGAGAUGUUGGGUUAAGUCCCGCAACGAGCGCAACCCUUGAUCUUAGUUGCCAGCAUUCAGUUGGGCACUCUAAGGUGACUGCCGGUGACAAACCGGAGGAAGGUGGGGAUGACGUCAAAUCAUCAUGCCCCUUAUGACCUGGGCUACACACGUGCUACAAUGGACAGAACAAAGG
rnacentral:rRNA from 1 species